rnacentral:rRNA from 1 species
UACGUAGGGGGCAAGCGUUAUCCGGAUUUACUGGGUGUAAAGGGCGUGUAGGCGGGAAAGCAAGUCAGAUGUGAAAACCACGGGCUCAACCUGUGGCCUGCAUUUGAAACUGUUUUUCUUGAGUACUGGAGAGGCAGACGGAAUUCCUCGUGUAGCGGUGAAAUGCGUAGAUAUGAGGAGGAACACCAGUGGCGAAGGCGGUCUGCUGGACAGCAACUGACGCUGAGGCGCGAAAGCGUGGGGAGCAAACAGG